GACGUCGUAUAUCGACGUCAUAAACACCAAAGUUGAUUGUGUUUAUGACGUCGUAUAUCGACGUCAUAAACACCAAAGUUGAUCGUGUUUAUGACGUCGAAUAUCGACGUCAUAAACACCAAAGUUGACCGUGUUUAUGACGUCAUAAACACCAAAGUUGAUCGUGUUUAUGACGUCGUAUAUCGACGUCAUAAACACCAAAGUUGACCGUGUUUAUGACGUCGUAUAUCGACGUCAUAAACACCAAAGUUGACCGUGUUUAUGACGUCGUAUAUCGACGUC
rnacentral:miRNA from 1 species